CGUUCGUCGACUUAGGUUAUUCGUAGCUGGAUUCUAUCGAUGGAGUAUCUUUUAAUGUUUAAUAACUUUUAAGAAUAUUUUUAAAUAGGAGUAGUAAAAGUUUGUUUAGUUUGAUGAAAUUUGACCAGAUUUAAUCAAUUCGACAUUUUACUCAAAGAAUCCGUAAGCGUAUACACGGGCACGCGUUACAAUCGCGUUACAUGGUUUCUAGCGGCUUAGAAACGCGACGAACAGCUUUUCACAAAGAAGGGUUUAAGCACUCUAAUCAAAUCUACGAUGUUAGUUUCUUGCCAUUGCCCUCUUGGUUUGCACGCAAAAGUCUAUUGGCACGUUUUUCAACGCAAACAUGAACUAACUACUGAAGUUGCUGUUCCAUUAGUAUAGCUAUUUUAUUUUCUACUCUUGAAAAUUUAGACAUUUAAAUUUUUUAUUUUUUUCUCUUAUUCUUCUAUGUAAUGUAAUAAUAUUUAUUCUAUUAAAAAUAUUCUUUGAAAAAAAAAUGUUUACAAUAAUUUUGAUUACAUUUAACUUUAUGAAUAUUUUAGGUUAGAUUUAAAUUCUGGAAGUUCUAGGUUAAAUUUCGUUUACAUGUCAGAUAUAUGCUUUUUGCGUUUCUUUCUUAUCUUUUAAAAAUAAUAUAAUAAUAAAUAAUAACAUUUUUGCUAAAUUUUUUAAAAAAAUUUAUAUAUUUUAUUAUCAAUUUUAAAAAUUACUUUAAAAUUGUAAAAAAGAUAAUAACGAUCAACAUUAUUAUUUUAUUUUUCAAUGUCAUUUUAUUUAUUUUUAAAAAAAAUAUAAUAUAAAUUAUAUAUAAAUUCACAAAAAUUGUUUUGAUAAAAUAAACAAUAUGAAUUAUUGAUUUAUCACUAA